AUUGAACGCUGGCGGCAUGCCUUACACAUGCAAGUCGAACGGCAGCACGGGAGCAAUCCUGGUGGCGAGUGGCGAACGGGUGAGUAAUAUAUCGGAACGUGCCCAGUCGUGGGGAUAACGUAGCGAAAGCUACGCUAAUACCGCAUACUAUCUAUGGAUGAAAGCGGGGGAUCGCAAGACCUCGCGCGAUUGGAGCGGCCGAUAUCAGAUUAGGUAGUUGGUGAGGUAAAGGCUCACCAAGCCGACGAUCUGUAGCUGGUCUGAGAGGACGACUAGCCACACUGGGACUGAGACACGGCCCAGACUCCUACGGGAGGCAGCAGUGGGGAAUUUUUGGACAAUGGGCGCAAGCCUGAUCCAGCAAUGCCGCGUGCAGGAUGAAGGCCUC
rnacentral:rRNA from 1 species